UUGUCUUCAUCAGGGGAUGUCCCGUCAAUGGAGGAGGCUCAGGCCCCCUUAGAGGUAUCUGGACCUCCAGUUGUACUGCAAAGGCCAAGGCGGGCCACUGCUGGCCAGCACUCUAAUCUUUACCACCUACCAAGGUCUGUAAGUGGCCCUGUAGGGGGAGAAGCUGCACCGGUUGAGUUAGUGUCUAAUGCUGUUUUGGCUUAUUUUCGGCCUUGGAGUUAACUUUUGGGUGUUUGGGUCCAUCGUCGGGGCGCCGAUGUGUGAUGUGGGGGUGGAUUGUAGCAGAGUAAGGAAGGUUAUCUGCUCAUUAGGUCACGUGAUGUGUGAAUCAUUAUAUAAAGGCAUGUAUUUGGUUACCUGGCUAUGCGUCAUCCUUGUCACCGCCCUCUUGUGGGACCUCAUUCAUGUUUUCUCCAGGUAUGUGCGUUAGCAGCGUGUAACCUUCCGGCAAACUUUAUGUGCGUUUGUUUACGUUACUUUGUUUAACACUACAGGAUAAUUUGACUACUGUUGUUGGCGUGGGCUGUCUGCUAUCCCAGGUAUGUGCGCUCUAUUUGUUGGACUAUGGGAACUGGUGUACUGAAACUUACAUGCGGCACCAUUUCAGCGUGCUUUGACGUCUGGUUCGUGAACAGUGAACAACGUUCAUUCUAGCGAAGACGCUUUCGUUUAGUGAGUUACGACCGCUAAUCUUUGGUUGAUCUGGUCUUCCGACCACUUUCUGGGGAACGAGAGGGUUAUUUUCGAGGGUUUGACUGCGCUGCUGUUUUGCCUUUGAAACUGUAUGGGUCACUUUUGAAUCCGAUUUUAGGCAACGGGCUUCACUCGGUAUGCCGGUAAUUGUGUCAGCGACUUUGUGUUUAUUCACAUGAACUUCUUGUGUCCAUGGUUCACUGAUAAGUCGCUUAGUUAAUGUGGGUUUAGUGUUUUACUACAUUUAGUUGUUUUUUUUGUGUAAUUGAGAUUUUUUUUUUUGAAUUAUUUUGCUUGUUUUCUUAUUUUGUAUGUGGUUUAAUACCACUCUUUCUUUCUUUGGUCCUGUUUGGGAGUCUGCUGUGUAUUAGUCUGGGCCUGCCUAACUAUUAUAGUCUGAUGUUACGGCCCAGUUUUCCUGUAAACCUUUAAUGCCUGCCUGUGCAUCAGUCUGGGCCUAACUAUUAUAAUCUGAUGUUAUUGCCCAGUUUUCAUGUAAACCUUCAACGCCUGCUGGUGUAUCCGUCUGGGCCUAACUAUUAUAAAUUGAGGUUAUUGCCCAGUUUCCUUGUAAAUCUCUAAUGCCUGCAUGUGUAUUAGUCUGGGCUUAACUAUUAUAAGUUGAGGUUAUUGCCCAGUUUCCCUGUAAAUCUCUAAUGCCUGCAUGUGUAUUAGUCUGGGCUUAACUAUUAUAAGUUGAGGUUAUUGCCCAGUUUUCCUGUAAAUCUCUAAUGCCUGCAUAUGUAUUAGUCUGGGCCUAACUAUUAUAAGUUGAGGUUAUUGCCCAGUUUCCCUGUAAGCCUUUAACGCCUGCAUGUGUAUUGGCCUGGGCCUAACUAUUAUAAGUUGAGGUUAUUGCCCAGUUUUCCUGUAAAUCUCUAAUGCCUGCAUAUGUAUUAGUCUGGGCCUAACUAUUAUAAGUUGAGGUUAUUGCCCAGUCUUCCUGUAAAUCUCUAAGGCCUGCACGUGUAUCAGAGCUGGCUUGAUGAUUUGUAAGUACUACUUACUAUAGGUGAGUUUACUGUCAGUUUGUGCCAUCAAGUCCGCUGGUGGCGUUUGACUCACAGCCUAUGUAAAGGUACUGCCUCUUUUGAACGUGGGCUAUUUAAUUUUCUUUUUCAUUUGUGUCAGUGUUUAGUAGUUUUCGUUGUUUUUGUUUUGUGAUUUAUAUUUAAUAUUGGUUUAUGUUGUGUAACUAAUUGUGGGUUUGUUUUCUUUGUCUUUUGGUUUGUAGAUUUGUUUUGUUUUUGACAAUUGUGUGGGGUGGGUCAUUCUUUUGGAUGGGAGGAGAUAAUUUUGUAUUUUUCUUUUUGAGUGACUUUUACACUGUGUGCUGUGCUGACCUUAUACCGUUCACACGUGUGCCGUGUGUGUGCGUGGUGUUGGGGUGAAUAUUCUGUGUGUAACCGGGGUUGUUAUCUCCUUUUGCUUGAGUUGAGACCCAGCAAAUGUUAAGUGUUUUGUAUGUGUUGUGCUGAUUUUAUAAGUGACUGAAGACCAAUAUUUGAUACUUCUUUUUAGCUAAUACAAAAUAAAGGUGUAUAUUUUUCAUUA